AUUUGAAUUAAUUAAAAUACAUGACCUAUCGAACUCAUGGACUUCGAAAGAGGACACAUUGUUAGAACGAGCAUUGCUGGAAUAUCACUCAGCAAAACUGCAGAAUUGUUUGAUAUUUCGAUAUGUACCGUCACGAAAACCAUGUUGGUAUUCCAAAACCAAAGCAAAAUUUUUCUGACAAGAAUAAUUCUGGAUCGAAAGCAAAAAACAAGAAAAACACAGAGAGCGAUUGCAGGACGCUGAAACUUACUUUAUCUGAAACCGAUGAAACUACGACAGUAAAAAUGACAGCAAAUAUAAACCAUCAUCUUACUAAAAAAAUCUUUCAACCAAAAACAAUUCGUUUUGUGCGCCAUAAAACAGGAUAUCAUGAGACGACUGUUAUGCUAAGCCUACCUCAUUAAUAGUUAUAAAUGGACAAAAUGUAUUUAGACUGUUGGAGGAGGUCAAUGACGCAAUUCGAUGAUGUAGUUUUCUCUCAUUAUUCGAGGAUCUUACUGUCUCCAAGACUGUAAUGUCCUCCUGCCAACGUCCUUCAGGUGUUUUUGAGAAUUUUAAGACGAAGAGAAUAUGCUGUUUCCGUGAACACCGUGUCUGCUGAAAAAAAAAAAAGAGAAAAAAUGGAAGAGUUUAACCUGCCACCGCUUCAUCGACCAGAAUGCUCACAACACAGUCGAUUCCGCAAAAGCAUUUACGAGUCAAUGGUAACAGAAAUCCGGACAAUGUUUUUAUUGUCUUACACGCCCACCAUUUCUUUCGUUGCUUUUUUCUUUAAUUGCUUAAUUUAUUCGGGAAGAGGCAUGGUCUAGAGUUUAGUGUGUUGCAUUCACGAUUACAAAAUCGCAGUUUCGAUCCCCAGAAUGGCUGUGCCUGGAGUUUCGCCUAUUUUUUCUUCUCUUUGUUGCAUUUCCUGUUUAUGUUCUUCAUUUCUCGUUGCUGCAGUUCACCUUGCGACGGACGGGCGUUCUUUCAGAAAAUAUUCUGCCGGCCGUCCUAGCCACAAGGCAUCAUUCGAAAGCUAGUACAAUACCAAGAAGUGCAAAGUGACAAGUAGUGUAUAACAGCAUCUGAAAUCUGGUCAAUACGCUCAUUUAACUUUACCUUAAUUGUUCUCAUCAGCUGUGCCACAAACACGUUUUUGCUAAAUACCUAGCAACACAUUUUGGGCGGAAGUAAUUUGUGGCGUUUGAGGAAUCUGUGCAUUUUGCACUUAUCUUUGUA